ensembl:lncRNA
UGGCGUCACAUAAAAUCACGCGCGCCAUGUUGCUCUUUUCUCCAGGUUAUUUCUGAUACAAACAUACUCCAGCGGAGGAUCCCCCCAAGUUUCAGAGACCCUGCCAGUGCUCCACUGAGGAAGCUCUCUGUUGACCUCAUCAAAACAUACAAGCACAUCAAUGAGGUGUAUUAUACUAAGAAGAAGAGGCGGGCCCAGCAAGUCCCUCCAGAAGACAGCAGCACCAAGAAGGAGAGAAAAGUUUACAACGAUGGCUACGACGAUGACAACUACGACUACAUUGUUAAAAAUGGAGAAAAGUGGCUGGACCGCUAUGAGAUAGACUCACUGAUUGGGAAAGGCUCAUUUGGACAGGUGGUGAAGGCCUACGACCACCAUGAGCAGGAAUGGAUCGCCAUUAAGAUCAUCAAGAACAAAAAGGCCUUUCUAAACCAGGCCCAGAUUGAACUACGCCUGCUGGAGCUCAUGAACAAGCAUGACACUGAAAUGAAAUAUUACAUAGUCCACCUGAAGCGUCACUUUAUGUUUAGAAACCAUCUCUGUUUGGUGUUUGAGUUGUUAAGCUACAAUCUGUAUGAUCUUUUGAGGAAUACCAACUUCAGAGGAGUUUCCCUCAAUCUCACCAGGAAAUUUGCACAACAGCUCUGUACAGCUUUAUUAUUCCUGGCCACUCCAGAGUUGUCAAUCAUCCACUGUGACCUAAAACCAGAGAAUAUCCUGCUGUGUAACCCCAAACGGUCUGCCAUCAAGAUUGUGGACUUUGGAUCUUCCUGUCAGCUUGGACAGAGGAUCUAUCAGUACAUCCAAAGCAGGUUUUACCGAUCUCCUGAAGUUCUGUUGGGAAUGCCAUAUGACCUGGCCAUCGACAUGUGGUCUCUGGGAUGUAUCCUGGUGGAGAUGCACACGGGAGAGCCUCUCUUCAGUGGCUCUAAUGAGGUUGACCAAAUGAAUAAAAUCGUGGAGGUUCUGGGUGUCCCGCCCAGCCACAUGCUGGAUGCAGCACCUAAAGCUAGGAAGUACUUUGACAAGUUGUCAGAUGGUCUUUGGACUGUCAAGAAGAACAAGGACUCAAAGAAGGAGUAUAAACCUCCAGCAACACGGCGUCUUCAUGAGAUUUUGGGUGUUGAAACAGGGGGUCCAGGGGGGCGGCGGGCAGGGGAGCCAGGACACGCCCCCUGUGACUACCUGAAGUUUAAAGAUCUGAUCUUGCGCAUGCUGGAUUAUGAUCCAAAAAGCCGCAUCACACCAUUCUACGCACUGCAGCACAACUUCUUCAAGAAGACAACAGAUGAAGGAACUAACACCAGUUCAUCGACAUCCACGUCCCCCGCCAUGGACCACUCCCAUUCAGCCUCCACUACCAGCUCUGUGACUCUGCCAUCAGUUGGUGGUUCUUCCAACGACAACCGCAACUACCGCUACAGCAACCGCUACUACAACUCUGCUGUGACACACUCAGACUAUGAGAUGACGAGCCCUCAGGCUCCGUCUCAGCAGCAGAUCAGAAUAUGGCCAGGCAGUGAGGGUGGAGGUGGGGGACAGGACCCAUCAUACACCCAGUUGCUCCUUCACAAGCCAGCUGCCUCCCAGCAACACCAGCGCCACUUCCUGGACCCACCCCACCACCCCCACCCAACCUACUCCCAUCACGGAAAUGGCGAGCGCGGCCUGCGCCAGGCUGGACAGACGGGCAUCGGUGGAGGUGGGGGCCAGCAGGGAUCCCCGCCAGAAAUGAGUGACAGCAUGGAUGUGGGUGUGUCCCUGGGGCUGCACCACCUGGGGGCAGUGUCUUCCAUGGAGGCCUCUCAGUUUGGUUCUGCCUCUCUGCCCCUCUCUCUGCCAAUUGGAUUAUCAGCCUUCCGAACUCGUACAGCCCCCAACGCCCCAGGGCCAAAAGCCCCACCCCCUGACGACUACUACCCUGUCUCCAACAAUAAUAAUGCUACUGCAGGGGGCAGAGGCAGGCCAGACUCAGAGGAGGGGGCAGCCAACUCUUGA